UCUUGGGAAGCUGAGAGUGCUGUACAGCUGCACUCUGUUCUCCAUGUGUGGUUUGCCGUGAUAAGGCCAGCAAAGCAGCCAGCCUUGAAAAUGCCAUUUAAUGAGAAAAGACCCACGCUGCUGCCAUGGUGCUUAUGUGUGUGUGUUGAGUGUGUAUGUGUGUGUGGGGGGGAGUCUGGCUGCAUUUAAUGCUCCCUGGUACCACUGCUUUGUGCUGGGUUUCUAGGUUUUUGUUACCAUUUCAGCUCACAGCCAACCUGACUACAGAUAUUGAUGGAUAUUAGCCAAGAUGUUCCCAGGGAAUUUUAAUUACCACAAUAACAAUCACUAGUCACAGCAUUUCCUAAACAGCAGUGGCAGGAGCAGGUGGUAAUUGCCCAGGCUCUGGUGGAAGGAAGGGGACAGUCUAGGGAAGUGACUGUUGGCAAGGAUGGAAGAAGGGAGGCUGAGAACCCCGGGCUGCCCAUUGCUUAGCCCUUCACUGGUAUGACCUGGGUUACAUAUCUCAGUGUUCCUGGCGAGUCUCACUGACUUCACUGGCUUACCCAUACUCUCUGCGCCUCAUCCCACAAAUAAAGGGGAUGGCUGUCUGGCCUUUGCAUAUGCUGUUCCUAACAGUUGUAGUAUCUGCAACCAGGUCUCCCUCCCAUGAGGCAUCCACAUUCCCCUGGGAAGUCGUUCAUGCCAGAUCUUGCAGAAUCAAGGCCCCUUUGCUCUGCUUCCAAGGCCGUAGGAUACCACUGGGACAGGUCAUCGCUAGGCUGGAGUUCACGCUUGUCUAUUGUUUGUCUGUCUGCCCCCGGCCCCCGACCCCUGAUACCCUGUGUGUCUGUCUCUGUCUUUGUCUCUAUUCCUUUGAGAUAGGUCUCACUGUGUAGCUCUCUGGCCAGGAACUUGCUAUCAAGACCAGGCUGGCCUCAAACUCCGAGAUCUGCCUGCCUCGGCCUCCUGAGUGUGCCGAUUAAAGGUGUGUGCCUUCAUGUGCAGCUUUGUACAUUCUUUGACUGGGCCGCUGAGCUCUUCAAGGGCAAGGCUGUGCCUGAGCCGUCCCCGAACCUUGUGAGGAAUCCACUAUGUGAGUGGUCAACAGAACGAACAGAUAAAGCACAGCAAACAAAGCAUGGGCCUUCAAGGGGAACAUUCUGCCUGCUGCACAAGCUCCAGGCUGAUUCAGCCUCGAAAGCAACAGGAAAUGACCUGUGACAAUAUGAUCCUUUUUAUGCUGUGGUCACUUUAAAGGUCUACCUGCUAUGGUGGAGGAGAGUUGGCUUGCCCUAAUCUGACUUGAGUAUACAUAUGCAUGCAUAUACAUAUAUACAUACAUACACACAUAUACACACAUGUACAUACAUACACACACAAAGGGAGAGACAGACAGACAGACACAGAGACAGACAGUGAGCGAGCAAGUGAUCGAGCGAGCUCUGGUUCCCCAGGAGCUAUCUGACAAGCUAAUCUUUCCAGCCCUGCCUCCUGCACCCUCCCCAUACCUAGCAGCCAAACACAGCUGUUUUCCCUCCUUUGCACAUCCUAAACUCUAUUUUUUACCUUCAAAUCUCUGUAGACAUUCCUCUUCCCUUUUCCCAGUGAGCUCUUAUUUCACUAGCGGGAAAUCACUUCUAUCUAGAACUUUCCAGAGAAAGCAAGCCUCAUCUCUUUCCACUGCAAGACGCAAAACCUUGCUGCACCAUGACUGCCUCUGUACCUGCCUGUCUCCUGGUGGGUGGGAAGUUCUGAGACAGCAGGAACGACCCGGAGCCACCCCCCAAAACCUUCAGGAUGAGAACUACAUGAGCAACUCUGUCGGCAGCAACCCCGUGUUUCCUCUUCCUUUAGUGUCCUCCACCCAGGUGCCAGACAAGAAGCCCAUGUGAAGGCCCAAGGUCUGCUGGGAAUACUCAAGCUAGCCAAACCACUGUGGCCAGCACCUUCCCUGGGCAGCCUGGUGGCCCAAUCCCUCACAAUCUGUAAGGAAUAAACCCAUCUUUGCAUGGCAUCACUCAGGCACCUCUGUAAAUUAGGACCUGGGUACAAGUCAUUGAGCUUGGAAGAUUAACAGCAGUGAUCAAAAAUUAGGAGGCGAGAGAGGAAACAGAGCAGUCGAAGCCAGGCGGCUCCUCACCCCUCACAGCGUGAGUCAAGAUCGGGCAUCUUGUGUUGAUGAAUCACAAGGAACAUGACAAGACCCAGCACGUGAACACCAGCCAGCUACCUCGGGCUAGGUGAGGGAGGCCUGGCGGGCGGCUUCCUCUACUGGCUGACACUUGGCCAAACAAUUGGAAUUUUUUCUCUCUCUCUCUUCUAAACCACAUGCAUUCCUCUGAUUAAAGCGAAAGCAUAACGGGCUUGUAAUUGAAUGUUGAUGUUAUUCAAUCCUUGGGCUGCAUGGCAGGUCGCAUGUGGGG
rnacentral:lncRNA from 1 species